CCUACGGGUGGCAGCAGUGGGGAAUAUUGGACAAUGGGCGAAAGCCUGAUCCAGCCAUGCCGCGUAUGUGAAGAAGGCCUUCGGGUUGUAAAGCACUUUCAGUGGGGAAGAAAGCCUUGGGGCUAAUACCCUCGAGGAAGGACAUCACCCACAGAAGAAGCACCGGCUAACUCCGUGCCAGCAGCCGCGGUAAUACGGAGGGUGCGAGCGUUAAUCGGAAUUACUGGGCGUAAAGCGCGCGUAGGCGGUCUGAUAAGCCGGUUGUGAAAGCCCCGGGCUCAACCUGGGAACGGCAUCCGGAACUGUCAGGCUAGAGUGCAGGAGAGGAAGGUAGAAUUCCCGGUGUAGCAGUGAAAUGCGUAGAGAUCGGGAGGAAUACCAGUGGCGAAGGCGGCCUUCUGGACUGACACUGACGCUGAGGUGCGAAAGCGUGGGUAGCAAACAGGAUUAGAUACCCCAGUAGUC
rnacentral:rRNA from 1 species